rnacentral:rRNA from 1 species
UACGGAGGGAGCUAGCGUUGUUCGGAAUUACUGGGCGUAAAGCGCGCGUAGGCGGCUUUGUAAGUUAGAGGUGAAAGCCCGGAGCUCAACUCCGGAACUGCCUUUAAGACUGCAUCGCUUGAAUCCGGGAGAGGUGAGUGGAAUUCCGAGUGUAGAGGGUGAAAUUCGUAGAUAUUCGGAAGAACACCAGGUGGCGAAAGGCG